rnacentral:rRNA from 1 species
AUGCCAACCCUGCCACCGAUGCUGGCUGUGCCAACGGUUCCGGCCGUGAUAGUACCAGCAAUGCCGACGGUGCCUGCGCUGACCGUGCCGCAGGUGACACUGCCUCCUAUGCCUGCUGUUCCUUCCAUGCCCAGGGUGGCAAUGCCUCCGAUGCUGGCCAUCGUCAUGCCCAAGGUGACCAUGGCGCCGAUGCCCGCCGUCGUUGUGCCUAAGGUGACGGUGCCACCGAUGCCCGCCAUUCCUUCAAUGCCCAAGGUGACACUGCCGCCGAUGCCUUCUAUCCCAACCGUCAACAUGCCUAUGCCGUUCCUGGCGCCGCCUCCAUCAGCACAGGUGUGCCAUGUGCAUGGUGUUGCAUUGACAGUGUCGCGUUCUUCAUGUUCAAUCUAG